UACGGAGGGGGCUAGCGUUGUUCGGAAUUACUGGGCGUAAAGCGCACGUAGGCGGCUUUGUAAGUUAGAGGUGAAAGCCCGGGGCUCAACUCCGGAAUUGCCUUUAAGACUGCAUCGCUAGAAUUGUGGAGAGGUAAGUGGAAUUCCAGGUGGAGCGGUGAAAUGCGUAGAGAUCUGGAAGAACACCGAAGGCGAAGGCAGCGUUCUGGGAAGCAACUGACGCUCAUGUGCGAAAGCCAGGGGAGCAAACGGGG
rnacentral:rRNA from 1 species